rnacentral:rRNA from 1 species
GUGGGGAAUUUUGGACAAUGGGCGCAAGCCUGAUCCUGCCAUUCCGCGUGCAGGAUGAAGGCCCUCGGGUUGUAAACUGCUUUUGUACGGAACGAAACGGUCCUGGUUAAUACCCGGGGCUAAUGACGGUACCGUAAGAAUAAGCACCGGCUAACUACGUGCCAGCAGCCGCGGUAAUACGUAGGGUGCGAGCGUUAAUCGGAAUUACUGGGCGUAAAGCGUGCGCAGGCGGUGAUGUAAGACAGGUGUGAAAUCCCCGGGCUUAACCUGGGAACUGCAUUUGUGACUGCAUCGCUGGAGUGCGGCAGAGGGGGAUGGAAUUCCGCGUGUAGCAGUGAAAUGCGUAGAUAUGCGGAGGAACACCGAUGGCGAAGGCAAUCCCCUGGGCCUGCACUGACGCUCAUGCACGAAAGCGUGGGGAGCAGACAGGAUUAGAUACCCUGGUAGUCCACGCCCUAAACGAUGUCAACUGGUUGUUGGGUCUUCACUGACUCAGUAACGAAGCUAACGCGUGAAGUUGACCGCCUGGGGAGUACGGCCGCAAGGU